rnacentral:rRNA from 1 species
CAAGAGGACAACAGUUGGAAACGACUGCUAAUACUCUAUACUCCUGCUUAACACAAGUUGAGUAGGGAAAGUUUUUCGGUGUAGGAUGAGACUAUAUAGUAUCAGCUAGUUGGUAAGGUAAUGGCUUACCAAGGCUAUGACGCUUAACUGGUCUGAGAGGAUGAUCAGUCACACUGGAACUGAGACACGGUCCAGACUCCUACGGGAGGCAGCAGUAGGGAAUAUUGCGCAAUGGGGGAAACCCUGACGCAGCAACGCCGCGUGGAGGAUGACACUUUUCGGAGCGUAAACUCCUUUUCUUAGGGAAGAAUUCUGACGGUACCUAAGGAAUAAGCACCGGCUAACUCCGUGCCAGCAGCCGCGGUAAUACGGAGGGUGCAAGCGUUACUCGGAAUCACUGGGCGUAAAGGGCGCGUAGGCGGAUUAUCAAGUCUCUUGUGAAAUCUAAUGGCUUAACCAUUAAACUGCUUGGGAAACUGAUAGUCUAGAGUGAGGGAGAGGCAGAUGGAAUUGGUGGUGUAGGGGUAAAAUCCGUAGAUAUCACCAAGAAUACCCAUUGCGAAGGCGAUCUGCUGGAACUCAACUGACGCUAAGGCGCGAAAGCGUGGGGAGCAAACAGGAUUAGAUACCCUGGUAGUCCACGCCCUAAACGAUGUACACUAGUUGUUGGGGUGCUAGUCAUCUCAGUAAUGCAGCUAACGCAUUAAGUGUACCGCCUGGGGAGUACGGUCGCAAGAUUAAAACUCAAAGGAAUAGACGGGGACCCGCACAAGCGGUGGAGCAUGUGGUUUAAUUCGAAGAUACGCGAAGAACCUUACCUGGGCUUGAUAUCCUAAGAACCUUUUAGAGAUAAGAGGGUGCUAGCUUGCUAGAACUUAGAGACAGGUGCUGCACGGCUGUCGUCAGCUCGUGUCGUGAGAUGUUGGGUUAAGUCCCGCAACGAGCGCAACCCACGUAUUUAGUUGCUAACGGUUCGGCCGAGCACUCUAAAUAGACUGCCUUCGUAAGGAGGAGGAAGGUGUGGACGACGUCAAGUCAUCAUGGCCCUUAUGCCCAGGGCGACACACGUGCUACAAUGGCAUAUACAAUGAGACGCAAUACCGCGAGGUGGAGCAAAUCUAUAAAAUAUGUCCCAGUUCGGAUUGUUCUCUGCAACUCGAGAGCAUGAAGCCGGAAUCGCUAGUAAUCGUAGAUCAGCCAUGCUACGGUGAAUACGUUCCCGGGUCUUGUACUCACCGCCCGUCACACCAUGGGAGUUGAUUUCACUCGAAGCCGGAAUACUAAACUAGUUACCGUCCACAGUGGAAUCAGCGACUGGGGUGAAGUCGUAACAAGGUAACCGUAGGAGAACCUGCGGUUGGAUCACCUCCUUU